GUUUCUUUCAAAGCAAAGUAACCCUAACACGUGAAUUGUCAUUGGAGUCUGCACCAACAUUCAUAAAAUACUUCUGAGAAAAAGAAUACCUUUUUCAGCCAGAAAACUAUGGAUCUCUUUUUCUUAGGAUCUCUGCUGAUUUUGUUUCCCCAUUUUUGCAGAUCUUUUCUUCUUUUUUUCCAAUUUUUUGCACUCUGUUUCCUUUUUUUU
rnacentral:lncRNA from 1 species